AAAUACUCGGGACACGUAUUAUACCUUCUAACAACGAUCAGGCCGCUGCAGCACUUGUUUGACUAGUUCGAGUCACAAAUGCCAGUUGGAGUCACAAACGCAGCAGAUUAGCGCUUGCAUUGCUGCAAUGUUUGAUUUUCAUCGAACAGGAGCUGUUUGCGCACUAGUGCUUCACUUUUAUUGUUUGCGAGCUAUAGUUCGUGCUAGUUCUUCACUUUAGGCCGACGUUAGCUAAUGCGCUAGAAUCAGGAGUAAGAAGGAACCUGACGACCAGCAAUGCAGGUGCGCACGCGUGCGUUCUUGUUGGCCGGGUGUCCUGCCUAGAAUAGCCAGCAGGCCUUGUGCAUCCCUGUACUUCUGAGCGUGUCGAUGUACUGGUGGCAUAUAGAAAUUCAGCCACGCGGCUUGCGCAUCCGGUCGAGACUUCCAAAGUGGCGCCAAAGCGCCGCGACGAAUCAACAUUAUGACUUCCCAGCCAAGGAGGCUUCAGCGAGCUGCACAAAAAACGUGUGUACUUGACAUGCAGCCCGUUAAAUCGGCUGGAAGGUCAGCGCUGCAGUCACUCUGGUUGGACGCGCACGCACGCGCGCCGCACGCCAGCUUACUUACAUUAUUGGAGGCAAUGCUGCUCCGUUACCUGUGUAGGCACUGAACAUACUUGUGCCGAACUUCCCCGAAAGAGUGCCAUCUCGGCCUUCCUAGGUCGCUGCUCUACGGGUGAGGACGCUGGUGCGGCGGGUUCUGAUGGUUUCCCCGCGAGAGCUAUCCUGCUUUCUAGAAGCCGGUCUGCGAGCCAGUUGGCGCUGAUGCGCCGGGGCAGGAGGUCCCCCAAAUUCGCUAAUUGGUUCUACUCCGCUUGGUUGCGUUAGGGCGCCUCGGCGCCCUGACCCUCCUUGUCGGUAGUAGUUCCUGGCCGGCCUUUGUGGCCGCGCCCAUCCCCUGUGGCGCCUCCAUGGCGUCCCUGGCGUUGCUUAGGUCAGCUGUAGUGCGUCAGUGCUGCUCUGGCUGCGGCGCGCCACUCAGUCGGCGACAUCAUCGUCGCCGUCCUGCCGAGCGGCCCCCGCUCUGGCACUCUUUGCCGAACAUCAUGACUUCACACCGUGGAGCCUUCGCGACCUAGCGUGGGUGGCGCGCCUGCUCGCCGGUCGACCUCGUCCUCAUGGCUUCGCGAUGCUUCUGGCGGGGCGCUCGCUGCUGCCGGGCUCGCAGUGGCGUGUCGCUGAGCGGCUCUUUCGGUAACGGAGGGCCGAUUGGAGCUGCUGGCGACUCUUGCUGUGGGCUGCUGCCGCGGCCUGACGUGGCGCCGGGCUCGCUGCGCGUGAACAGGGGCACGCUGCGGCGGGAGCCAGGACCGGCGUCUUCCGGGCGGCGGCGGCUGGAGCUGUGGGCGCAUCUACACAGUGGAGAGACCUGCUUGGCGAAUGCAGUCUGGCGAAGGCAGUCCAGCGAAGGCUGGCUGGCGCAGGCCGACUAAGCGAAGGCUGGCUGGCGCUGUCUGCUGUGCUAGGGUGUUGCGAGGCUGUGUGGACUUGGUUGGGCGGUGGGCGUGCCUGCACCGCCUGCGCUAGGUUGCGGGCGCUGUGGCUUGUGCUGUCUGGUGGGUCGGACCGGCUGAUCCUCGUGGUUCAGCGAACUUGCACGGCCCUAGGCCGUCUACAGGAUGCAGCUUCGGGCUGCACCCAACAGUGUGAGGGCCCUGCCCUGUUGGUGCUGGUGUUUUGGGGUAGGAGUUGCACUUUGCAAAGUGGCAGUCAGUCUGACGCCGACCCGCGGCUUAGGUGAGCAGCGCUAGCGUUUGCGGUGAGCCUUGCUCGGGGUUCCUCCCCUCCUUUAGUGAGGCGAGGAGCAUGGGGGUCAUUUGAGGUUCCCUCCUCGAGUGUGCGUACGUGUCUCGUGCGCUUAUGGAGCCCUGGCUUGCCCGUGGCUGUCAUCCCACAUGUAACCUCUAUUCGCAAUGCUGCUUCAACGGAACUGGCCUGGUGUGCCUGUCCAAACAGUUCUCUUGCUUGGUGACAUAUAGGUAUCUAGUUGCAGCUCGUUGCUUCAACUCCAAACGAAGCGCGCGCGCGGCGCAGUAGUGGUGCAACCCCGUCCUACCUGCGGCGUGGUGCCACGCACGCGCGUGGACUCGAACACGAUUCUUGCUUGCAGGAAAUCCCC
rnacentral:lncRNA from 1 species